CUGAGAAAGGAAAAGGUAGGGUAUGAAUUUCGCGGAAAAGAACUCAAAAUCAACCAUCUUCUAUUCAUGGAUGAUCUGAAGUUGUUUGGAAAGAACAAGGAGCAAAUAGACUCACUGGUGAAAACUGUCCAUAUUGUUAGCAAAGACAUUGGAAUGGAAUUUGGGAUAAUGAAAUGUGGAAUGCUUGUAAUGAAAAGAGGAAAGAUUGUGGAAUGUAAUGGAAUACAGCUACCUGAUGAGGAAACAAUAAAGUCCGUAGAAGAAGAUGGAUAUAAAUAUCUUGGUAUACUGGAAUUAGAUAAAAUUAUGGAGGGUGAAAUGAAGAGAAAGUUUGUAAAGGAAUAC